rnacentral:rRNA from 1 species
GACGAACGCUGGCGGCGUGCUUAACACAUGCAAGUCGAACGGACAGACAGAGAGCUUGCUCUCUUGAAGUUAGUGGCGAACGGGUGAGUAACGCGUAAUCAACCUGCCCUUCAGAGGGGGAUAACAACGGGAAACCGUUGCUAAUACCGCGUACGAUCCAUGAACGGCAUCGUUUAUGAAUGAAAGGUGGCCUCUAUGUAUAAGCUAUCGCUGAAGGAGGGGAUUGCGUCUGAUUAGCUAGUUGGAGGGGUAACGGCCCACCAAGGCAAUGAUCAGUAGCAGGUCUGAGAGGAUGAACGGCCACAUUGGGACUGAGACACGGCCCAAACUCCGACGGGAGGCAGCAGUGGGGAAUCUUCCGCAAUGGACGAGAGUCUGACGGAGCAACGCCGCGUGAGUGAUGAAGGUCUUCGGAUUGUAAAGCUCUGUUAAUCGGGACGAAAGAGUUCUGCGUGAAUAAUGCAGAAAAGUGACGGUACCGGAAUAGAAAGCCACGGCUAACUACGUGCCAGCCGCCGCGGUAA